GAAGCGAUUUAAGUGAAGUUUUCGGAUGGAUCUUAAAUUGACUGAGCGGCGGACGGGUGAGUAACGCGUGGAUAACCUGCCUCACACAGGGGGAUAACAGUUAGAAAUGACUGCUAAUACCGCAUAAGCGCACGGUACCGCAUGGUACAGUGUGAAAAACUCCGGUGGUGUGAGAUGGAUCCGCGUCUGAUUAGGUAGUUGGUGAGGUAACGGCCCACCAAGCCGACGAUCAGUAGCCGACCUGAGAGGGUGACCGGCCACAUUGGGACUGAGACACGGCCCAAACUCCUACGGGAGGCAGCAGUGGGGAAUAUUGCACAAUGGGCGAAAGCCUGAUGCAGCAACGCCGCGUGAGUGAAGAAGUAUCUCGGUAUGUAAAGCUCUAUCAGCAGGGAAGAAAAUGACGGUACCUGACUAAGAAGCCCCGGCUAACUACGUGCCAGCAGCCGCGGUAAUACGUAGGGGGCAAGCGUUAUCCGGAUUUACUGGGUGUAAAGGGA
rnacentral:rRNA from 1 species